rnacentral:rRNA from 1 species
UACGUAGGGUGCAAGCGUUGUCCGGAAUUAUUGGGCGUAAAGAGCUCGUAGGCGGUUUGUCGCGCCUGCUGUGAAAACGCGAGGCUCAACCUCGCGCCUGCAGUGGGUACGGGCAGACUAGAGUGCGGUAGGGGAGAUUGGAAUUCCUGGUGUAGCGGUGGAAUGCGCAGAUAUCAGGAGGAACACCGAUGGCGAAGGCAGAUCUCUGGGCCGUUACUGACGCUGAGGAGCGAAAGCAUGGGGGAGCGAACAGG